rnacentral:rRNA from 1 species
GACGAACUCUGGCGGCGUGCUUAACACAUGCAAGUCGAACGGAAAGGCCCUGCUUUUGUGGGGUGCUCGAGUGGCGAACGGGUGAGUAACACGUGAGUAACCUGCCCUUGACUUUGGGAUAACUUCAGGAAACUGGGGCUAAUACCGGAUAGGAGCUCCUGCUGCAUGGUGGGGGUUGGAAAGUUUCGGCGGUUGGGGAUGGACUCGCGGCUUAUCAGCUUGUUGGUGGGGUAGUGGCUUACCAAGGCUUUGACGGGUAGCCGGCCUGAGAGGGUGACCGGCCACAUUGGGACUGAGAUACGGCCCAGACUCCUACGGGAGGCAGCAGUGGGGAAUAUUGCACAAUGGGCGGAAGCCUGAUGCAGCAACGCCGCGUGCGGGAUGACGGCCUUCGGGUUGUAAACCGCUUUCGCCUGUGACGAAGCGUGAGUGACGGUAAUGGGUAAAGAAGCACCGGCUAACUACGUGCCAGCAGCCGCGGUGAUACGUAGGGUGCGAGCGUUGUCCGGAUUUAUUGGGCGUAAAGGGCUCGUAGGUGGUUGAUCGCGUCGGAAGUGUAAUCUUGGGGCUUAACCCUGAGCGUGCUUUCGAUACGGGUUGACUUGAGGAAAGUAAGGGAGAAUGGAAUUCCUGGUGGAGCGGUGGAAUGCGCAGAUAUCAGGAGGAACACCAGUGGCGAAGGCGGUUCUCUGGGCCUUUCCUGACGCUGAGGAGCGAAAGCGUGGGGAGCGAACAGGCUUAGAUACCCUGGUAGUCCACGCUGUAAACGGUGGGUACUAGGUGUGGGGUCCAUUCCACGGGUUCCGUGCCGUAGCUAACGCUUUAAGUACCCCGCCUGGGGAGUACGGCCGCAAGGCUAAAACUCGAAGGAAUUGACGGGGCCCCGCACAAGCGGCGGAGCAUGCGGAUUAAUUCGAUGCAACGCGUAGAACCUUACCUGGGUUUGACAUGGAUCGGGAGUGCUCAGAGAUGGGUGUGCCUCUUUUGGGGUCGGUUCACAGGUGGUGCAUGCCUGUCGUCAGCUCGUGUCGUGAGAUGUUGGGUUAAGUCCCGCAACGAGCGCAACCCUUGUUCACUGUUGCCAGCACGUUAUGGUGGGGACUCAGUGGAGACCGCCGGGGUCAACUCGGAGGAAGGUGGGGAUGACGUCAAGUCCUCAUGCCCCUUAUGUCCAGGGCUUCACGCAUGCUACAAUGGCUGGUACAGAGAGUGGCGAGCCUGUGAGGGUGAGCGAAUCUCGGAAAGCCGGUCUCAGUUCGGAUUGGGGUCUGCAACUCGACCUCAUGAAGUCGGAGUCGCUAGUAAUCGCAGAUCAGCAACGCUGCGGUGAAUACGUUCCCGGGGCU